GUAGAGCAUCAGACUUUUAAUCUG
rnacentral:piRNA from 1 species